AACACAUGCAAGUCGAGCGGAUGACGGGGGCUUGCUCCUUGAUUCAGCGGCGGACGGGUGAGUAAUGCCUAGGAAUCUGCCUGGUAGUGGAGGACAACGUUUCGAAAGGAACGCUAAUACCGCAUACGUCCUACGGGAGAAAGCAGGGGACCUUCGGGCCUUGCGCUAUCAGAUGAGCCUAGGUCGGAUUAGCUAGUUGGUGGGGUAAUGGCUCACCAAGGCGACGAUCCGUAACUGGUCUGAGAGGAUGAUCAGUCACACUGGAACUGAGACACGGUCCAGACUCCUACGGGAGGCAGCAGUGGGGAAUAUUGGACAAUGGGCGAAAGCCUGAUCCAGCCAUGCCGCGUGUGUGA
rnacentral:rRNA from 1 species